AUACGUAGGGGGCAAGCGUUGUCCGGAUUUACUGGGUGUAAAGGGCGCGCAGGCGGGAUAAAUAGUCAGAGGUGAAAUCCUACAGCUUAACUGUAGAACUGCCUUUGAUACUGUUAUUCUUGAGUUCGGGAGAGAGAGACGGAAUUCCAGGUGUAGUGGUGAAAUACGUAGAUAUCUGGAAGAACACCAGUUGCGAAGGCGGUCUCUUGGUCCGAUACUGACGCUGAGGCGCGAAAGCGUGGGGAGC
rnacentral:rRNA from 1 species